rnacentral:rRNA from 2 species
GGCUGUCUCCACCCGAGACUCAGUGAAAUUGAACUCGCUGUGAAGAUGCAGUGUACCCGCGGCAAGACGGAAAGACCCCGUGAACCUUUACUAUAGCUUGACACUGAACAUUGAGCCUUGAUGUGUAGGAUAGGUGGGAGGCUUUGAAGUGUGGACGCCAGUCUGCAUGGAGCCGACCUUGAAAUACCACCCUUUAAUGUUUGAUGUUCUAACGUGGACCCGUAAUCCGGGUUGCGGACAGUGUCUGGUGGGUAGUUUGACUGGGGCGGUCUCCUCCUAAAGAGUAACGGAGGAGCACGAAGGUUGGCUAAUCCUGGUCGGACAUCAGGAGGUUAGUGCAAUGGCAUAAGCCAGCUUGACUGCGAGCGUGACGGCGCGAGCAGGUGCGAAAGCAGGUCAUAGUGAUCCGGUGGUUCUGAAUGGAAGGGCCAUCGCUCAACGGAUAAAAGGUACUCCGGGGAUAACAGGCUGAUACCGCCCAAGAGUUCAUAUCGACGGCGGUGUUUGGCACCUCGAUGUCGGCUCAUCACAUCCUGGGGCUGAAGUAGGUCCCAAGGGUAUGGCUGUUCGCCAUUUAAAGUGGUACGCGAGCUGGGUUUAGAACGUCGUGAGACAGUUCGGUCCCUAUCUGCCGUGGGCGCUGGAGAACUGAGGGGGGCUGCUCCUAGUACGAGAGGACCGGAGUGGACGCAUCACUGGUGUUCGGGUUGUCAUGCCAAUGGCACUGCCCGGUAGCUAAAUGCGGAAGAGAUAAGUGCUGAAAGCAUCUAAGCACGAAACUUGCCCCGA